UUUUUUUUUUUUUUUUUUUNUUGCUUUUUAGGGCUGCAUUGUUGGCAUGUGGAGAUUCCCAGGCUAGGGGUUCAAUUGGGUCUAUAGCUGCUGCAGCAACGCCAGAUCCGAACCGCAUCUGUGACCUACAUCACAGCUCACGGCAAUGCCAGAUCCUUAACCCACUGAGCGAGGCCAGGGAUCGAACCCACAACCUCAUGGUUCCUAGUCAAAUUCGUUUCUGCUGGGCCAUGCCGGGACCUCCCCCAAUCCAAUCCUUUAAGGUCAUUUGCGAUGUUUUUCUCAUUCUUCUCUGUUCUUAAGAGGUUCUGUUUUGCAGUAAGUGUGUUAGGGCCAAAUCAGAUUUAACCAAAGGUUUGCAUUUGUGACAGCCUGACAUUUAAGAAUUUAAAUUGUUGGGAGCCCAGUUGGCAUUUUUAAAAUGAUUUGUUGGGCUUAUGUUCAGAGGGGGUGUUGCUGUUGGUCUUUCUGAAGUCACACGUGUAGCCCCAUUGGUUUAUCCUUUUCUCCAGCCCCUGGGCCCGAACCACACGUAGCUCUGCAUUUGUGGUCAUACCUUCUGGUCUGGUACUUUGACUUCUCUCGCUCUGCUGGGUAGUGAAGUGUGAGAUGGGGAGUAACAUGUUCACCAGUGACGUGGACAAUAGACAUUGUUUUGGGGGUCACCUCAUGUAUUUCAUUUCACAUGUAGCCAAGAUAAUGCUCUAUCGAUCGCUUUCUCUUGCUUGGCAUUUGGGCAUGAAAAUGUCAAUCAGGAGAAAGCCUUCUGCCCUGAUUGUGAGCAAGUGUCAUUUCGAGCCCUUUACCGCAGGGCUGGUUGUCUCUCUGGGUCCCUGCUCCACCACCAGAGCCCUCCCCUGCACUCCUCUUCUUCCUCCAGAAUUCAUGUUGAGAACAAUUGCCCUGAUUUUCCGACCCAGGCAGUGGCUCUGAAAGCAGGGAGUAGUGUCGUAUACAAUGACUCUGAGACCUGAAGAGACAAACUCUGGUUUGUAUUUUUUCAUGAAAUGUUUAAAACUGUCUAAUUUCAAAUGACAUUAGUCUUACGAAACUGUUGUGAAAGCAGUGCAUGAGUUCUCAUAUACCCUCCACCUGGCUUCCCCAAAUGAUAACAUCUCACAAAACCAGAGUACAACUAUGGAAACUAGGAACUGGCAUGGAUAGAAGGCUAUGGGCUAAUUGACAUCUUAUUCUGAGUAGCCAGUUAGUCCACUCAGAGCCUUCAAUGAUUCUUACCUGGGGCGGUUGCUAUUGCGGUGCUUGCCACAUGGUGAUUUUCCAUCUCUCUCGUGCCUUCUCCAUUUGCUCAUUGGAAUUCCACCGUAAGGAAGAGUUCUCCCUUCUGAGCUAUUUAUUAUUCAUUCAAUUAUUUCUAUCAGUAUGGACUCAUGAAUAUUUGUUUUAUCCUAUGUAUUAUAAUCCAUUACUAGUGUAAUUUUAUUGCCCCAAUUGUCGCAUAUUUGGCGAUUGGGAGCUGGCUCAAGUUGAUGUCUGUAUCCUUUUGACCUGUCCUAGUUGUAUUUUUAUAAGGCACUUCCUUAUUUUCUGACCCCAUACGAUGUUCCAAUUCAUCCUGUAUUCCCUGUCCCCACCCUGGAGUCAGCCACUCCUGCUAGGAGCCCUCAUUUCAGUAUUGUACCCUUGGAAAAACGGUAUUUACCUUGUGGGGUGUUUAUAUGGCAGACAUUGGAUAUCUCCCUACCAUAUAUAGUACUCGAUUGAUAUUGAAACAUUGCUCCUUAACAUGUCAGAUUGUAAAAAACAAAUUCUGUGUUGUUUCAUAUGGUAAAAAAAAAGGGGGGGGGCAGAGGAAGCCACACAAUUAGGGUUUUCGCUAAAAGUUCUGCUGUGCUCCUUCUUAGUUCUCUAUUUCUUUUUUGUACCUAACCACAGAGCCAAUACCUUUCAGGCUUUUCCUUGCUUUUUGUUCUUGCUAAAAAAAUUAUUGUCUCCCUCAUAUAAAUUUUCUCUAACAUUCCUCUUCUGCAGUGUAGCUCCUCACUGGCUCAAAUUCCUCUCACUUCAUAUUUUAUCCUGACACCUCCACCCCUAGCUGAAUUCCUGGUAUAGCAUCUCUGUUUCUCUGACUCUUAACGCCAAUUUUCUAGUCCUUUCAAUCAGU
rnacentral:lncRNA from 1 species